rnacentral:rRNA from 1 species
ACUCCUACGGGAGGCAGCAGUGGGGAAUUUUGCGCAAUGGGGGAAACCCUGACGCAGCAACGCCGCGUGAGUGAUGAAGGCCCUUGGGUCGUAAAGCUCUGACAGAGGGAAAGAAAUGUAGAGGGGCUAAUAUCCCCAUUACUUGACGGUACCCUCAAAGGAAGCACCGGCUAACUCCGUGCCAGCAGCCGCGGUAAUACGGGGGGUGCAAGCGUUGUUCGGAUUUAUUGGGCGUAAAGCGCGUGUAGGCGGUCUUAUAAGUCUGAUGUGAAAGCCCUGGGCUCAACCCAGGAAGUGCAUUGGAUACUGUAAGACUUGAAUACGGGAGAGGGCAGUGGAAUUCCUAGUGUAGGAGUGAAAUCCGUAGAUAUUAGGAGGAACACCGGUGGCGAAGGCGGCUGCCUGGACCGAUAUUGACGCUGAGACGCGAAAGCGUGGGUAGCAAACAGGAUUAGAUACCCUGGUAGUCCACGCCGUAAACGAUGAGAACUAGGUGUUGCGGGUA